GGAUGUGAGGGCGAUCUGGCUAUGACAUCUGUUACCCCAUUGAUUGCCAGGGUUGAUUUGUUUGAUCUGGCUGGCUAGGCGGGUGUCCUCUUCCUGACUGCUCCAUGUGCGUCCCUCCCGAAGCUGUGUACUUGGUCGAAGAGGACAACCUUCCCCGAUAGAGGAGGACCAUUCUUCGGACAAGGGUAUAUGAGUAGCUGCGUUCCCCUGCUAGAACCUUCAAACAAGCUUUCAAAUUAACCUGCAAAAAGGAUGACAAUGCUCCUUUCAAUAGAAAAUACAGGGAGAGGGCCCU
ensembl:misc_RNA 7SK 7SK RNA